UGCCAGGCUUGUGAGCAGUGAGGCCCACAACUUACAUUCACUUUACUCAAGUAAGCAGAAAAUGAAACAGCAAUACCUUAUUGAAUACUUCCAGUCCAGUCUGCAAGGGUCACCAGUCGCUCGGAUUCUGGAGAAGUACAAGAGGGCAUGCAGAUGUCCAUCAAUGGUCUCUGUGGAUUUAACCAGUCCCCGAUCUCCAUGAAAAACUAGAUGGCUAAUAGAUGUCAGAGAAGAGGACGGCACCGACUCUAAAGUGUGAUCCAGUGACUCUGCAGCAAGAUCCAGUGGCUGUGCAGCUUGAUCCAGUGACACUGCAGCGUGAUCCAGUGACUCUGCAGCGUGAUCCAGUGAAUUAACGCUGUAGUGUAGUCAGAAAUGAUGAAGCAAAUCCUUUAGUGUUUGCUGGGUUAAGUUACCCGUGGCUAAGGUCCAUUCAUUUGGCCACGCUCCAUAUGCUAAUGAGACAGCAAGGUUAACUUCAAACACACAGAAAGGAACUUGAUAAACUCCGCUCAAGCAACUCCAUGGUGCGACGAUAAAGGGCAAUGCAGGAAGCUGGGG